rnacentral:misc_RNA from 1 species
GUGAAUUAUAGGGCGUCUACUUCGGUAGAGCCUGACCUCCACUUUCUAACUCUGUGCACUCAUUUGGCGGAAUACGGAACAGUAAUCGUCUAACGACGAUUAGGACUUCUGCUUUCUGCGGCUUACUUUAAAACACUAGUCAAAGUAUGUAACGAAAUAUCGAAAUAAAAAA